rnacentral:rRNA from 1 species
CAGCCGCCGCGGGAAUACGAAGGGUGCGAGCGUUAAUCGGAUUUACUGGGCGUAAAGCGUGCGUAGGCGGCUUUUUAAGUCGGAUGUGAAAUCCCUGAGCUUAACUUAGGAAUUGCAUUCGAUACUGGGAAGCUAGAGUAUGGGAGAGGAUGGUAGAAUUCCAGGUGUAGCGGUGAAAUGCGUAGAGAUCUGGAGGAAUACCGAUGGCGAAGGCAGCCAUCUGGCCUAAUACUGACGCUGAGGUACGAAAGCAUGGGGAGCAAACAGGAUUAGAUACCCCAGUAGUCCCUGUCUCUUAUAC